rnacentral:tRNA from 1 species
UGACUUAGUGGUAGAGUGCUUGCCUUGCAUGCAUGAGGCCCUGGGUUCGAUUCCUCAG